UGUGAAUCUCUACAGUCCUUUGUCUAUAAAUAGGACUGAAGUCUGAUACUUGAGGAAGAGAGCAAGAGUGAUAUCGUGAGAGUCUGGGGAAUCACAUUCUGUAGGAAGAGAGUGAGAUAGCGGGAGAAAUUCUUGCAACAGAAUCUCUGCAACUUUCUGUGAUAGUUUUCUGGUGUGUUCUUGGUUGAGUGAUAUAUUUCACGAUCAAAAAGGGAGUUGAAGAGAAGAAGCAAAAAUGGGCGAAAAGUGGCAAAAUUCAAGUACAAGGACUAAAUUGGCUAGUUGAUGCAAAGUUUGGAAAUCAAAAUUCAUUAUCUUGAAAAUUAAGGACUUGGAAGCAAACACUAUAAAUGGGCCUCAACUAGACUUCCACGUGGGCUGCUGAUUGAACUUCUUGACCUAGAAGGACCCGCAUGUAUGCAAAGUGAAAUUAAAAAGUCCAAGUGAAAGUGAUUUUCGGUGGCUGCUAGGUUUUAUUUUUUAUAUAUAUACACCAUUUACACGCCGAGGAGGGGGGGAGCCGAACUAGGGAGCAAAUUGGACUCCACUUUGGGGUAAAUUAUUGAGGCUCAAUAGCACAGAAAAUCGGGAGAGAUACAUACGAAUUGGAGAGGUGGAAUUGGGGAGACAACCUGGGGGAAUUGGUUGCUGGAAAUUAGACUUACAUACAUAUAUAAUUACGCCUUGCAGCCAGCAAAACGACUUUUCUGGAAGGAGAACUGCAGCCGGCCAAAUACAACACUUCGGAAGAAUUUCUAACGGCUGGACAAAAAAUUCAAUUGCGGACUGCUAGGAUUGAUUGGAAGAAGGCCCGACACACAAUUGGAUAAAUCAAUUGAGAAACGUGUAAAGCAUAGAGGGAAGCUGAAAGUAGAUUUGGAGGCAAGAAUUGAAGCUGCCGACAAUUAAUAUAUUUACAUACACACGUAAAGACGGCAGCUUGAGGAGGCAGAAUUGAGAAGUUCCAGCUGGGAUUACAAUUAAAUAUUGGAGGCACUCACAGAAAUUGAGGAGAGGCACACAGAGAAGCUCAGAAAUUGCUGGAAUUUAUCACUUAUACGCAUAGGAAACCGAGGAAGAAUUGGACUCCAAACAUUGAAGCUGUCGGCUGGAGUAAAAUUGAAAUUUCAUUCGCGUUUCGUCAAUUAAUCCCGGUGAUAUCUUCCAUUAUUUUAUCUUGUGUUUCUUCCAUAAUUAUGAAUAGCUAAAUUUAAUUUAGGGCGAACAACGUAAUUUAUUUGGAACCCUUUAUUUCGUUGAUUUAAGAUUCUAGUACUUUUAUA